rnacentral:rRNA from 1 species
AUGGUUGUCGUCAGCUCGUGUCGUGAGAUGUUGGGUUUAAGUCCCGCAACGAGCGCAACCCCUAUUGUUAGUUGCCAUCAUUCAGUUGGGCACUCUAGCGAGACUGCCGGUAAUAAACCGGAGGAAGGUGGGAUGACGUCAAAUCAUCAUGCCCCUUAUGACCUGGGCUACACACGUGCUACAAUGGUUGGUACAACGAGUUGCGAGUCGGUGACGGCGAGCUAAUCUCUUAAAGCCAAUCUCAGUUCGGAUUGUAGGCUGCAACUCGCCUACAUGAAGUCGGAAUCGCUAGUAAUCGCGGAUCAGCACGCCGCGGUGAAUACGUUCCCGGGCCUU